UCCUCGGUAGCUCAAUUGGCAGAGCAGACGGCUGUUAACCGUCAGGUUACUGGUUCGAGUCCAGUCCGGGGAG
rnacentral:tRNA from 1 species